CCUACGGGUGGCAGCAGUGGGGAAUAUUGCACAAUGGGGGAAACCCUGAUGCAGCGACGCCGCGUGAGUGAAGAAGUAAUUCGUUAUGUAAAGCUCUAUCAGCAGGGAAGAAAAUGACGGUACCUGAGUAAGAAGCCCCGGCUAACUACGUGCCAGCAGCCGCGGUAAUACGUAGGGGGCAAGCGUUAUCCGGAUUUACUGGGUGUAAAGGGAGCGUAGACGGCAGUGCAAGUCUGGAGUGAAAGGCGGGGGCUCAACCCCCGGACUGCUCUGGAAACUGGCGGGCUAGAGAGCAGGAGAGGGCGGUGGAACUCCAUGUGUAGCGGUAAAAUGCGUAGAUAUAUGGAAGAACAUCAGUGGCGAAGGCGGCCGCCUGGCCUGUUAACUGACGCUGAGGCACGAAAGCGUGGGGAGCAAAUAGGAUUAGAUACCCGAGUAGUC
rnacentral:rRNA from 1 species